CCAAUUGGCUCCAUACCACCUGGCACAGUCUGUGAAUCUAGGACAUAAAAAACUGAUUGUAGUAACUCCUUGAGGGACCGGCCCACAAGCUAGACCUUGAGUUGUAAACCAAUCUACAGGUAGACCCUAUAGCCUGUCGCAAGACAGAUUAUAGGUCUGCCGCCCUCUACAGAACAAUGAAACAAUACAACCUGAAGUCUAAAAGGAGUAUAGGUGAGGGACAGGCAAGACAAAGCACCUCGGUGUGAGAGCUUCCUGUUCCCCUACUCUUUGUAAAUCUAAAUGAAAU
rnacentral:misc_RNA from 1 species